CGCCUCGCCCCCAGCCCGGACGCCGCCGAGGCCUGCCCCUGACUCCGCAUUUCUAUUAACUUUCGAAUUAAAAAGUAUUUCUUUUAAGAUCAAAAAGCGAUCAAUGCUAGUCGGAAAAAGUUCAAACAAUACCACCACCCUUCCUUCUCCAAAUCUCUCUAGAGGAAACCACUGUUUACAGAUUGAUGAGAUCAUGGGUCAGAGGCGUAAAGUGACUUGUUCAAAGUCACCCAGCAGUGUGACUCCAGUGCCUGAGUGGGAGUGGGUCAUCAUGAUGAUUCAGCCUCUCCAAGGGAACCAAUCUUUCCAAACCGUCUGGUGGAGAACAGAUGGCACAGCACCCAGGAGUCCCCGAGCUGCCCAGCCUCAAAGAUGCUCCAUUUCAGCCAAGUGGAAAAGUCAGGCAAGCAGCUUGGGAUCUGGUUCUGGCAGUCAAGGCUGGAGAAAGAAGCCCGGGAUGCUUCAGCAUAAGGAGAGGUACUUAAAACCCUGGGAGAGGAUGGGCUCACUGCGG
ensembl:lncRNA novel transcript